AUACCAGGUGUUGUAAGCAU
rnacentral:rRNA from 1 species